AGUUUGUCAUGUUACAAAUAUCUCUGUCAAGGGUCUCAAUUUAUCGGGACUUUUACCAAGUGAAUUUGGAUUCCUUACCUAUCUGCAAAAACUUGAUUUGUCUAACAAUUAUCUAAAUGGAUCAAUCCCAAGGAGCUUUGCUAGACUCCCUCUUGUCACAUU